rnacentral:rRNA from 1 species
AACGAACGCUGGCGGCAUGCCUAACACAUGCAAGUCGAACGAGACCUUCGGGUCUAGUGGCGCACGGGUGCGUAACGCGUGGGAACCUGCCCUUAGGUUCGGAAUAACUCCCCGAAAGGGGUGCUAAUACCAGAUAAUGUCUUCGGACCAAAGAUUUAUCGCCUUUGGAUGGGCCCGCGUUGGAUUAGCUAGUUGGUAGGGUAAAAGCCUACCAAGGCGACGAUCCAUAGCUGGUCUGAGAGGAUGAUCAGCCACACUGGGACUGAGACACGGCCCAGACUCCUACGGGAGGCAGCAGUGGGGAAUAUUGGACAAUGGGCGAAAGCCUGAUCCAGCAAUGCCGCGUGAGUGAUGAAGGCCUUAGGGUUGUAAAGCUCUUUUACCCGGGAUGAUAAAGACAGUACCGGGAGAAUAAGCUCCGGCUAACUCCGUG